rnacentral:lncRNA from 1 species
GCAAGGGUGGGAGAGCAAGCCGUUUACUUGGGUGCUGACCCCUGGGAGCCCCAGCAGGGGAGCGGGGCCGAUGGGGGUGACCGUCGGCGUCACCAGGCUGGUUGCUGUGUGGCCAGCUGGACUCGAGGGGACAGUGGGGGACACGCCGAGCAGCCUCUCGCGACCUGGCUGAGGCCAGGGUCUGGGUCGCGGGGCGCGGCGGGCACCGAGGGGCGCGGCGGCCACCGAGGGGCUGGGCGGCCACCGAGGGGCUGGACAGCUCUGCUCUGAUGAUGCGGUCGUGACUCCCACCGCGGGUCCCAGGGACGGCUCGAAGCUUUGGAGGCUGCGACGGUAAAGCAAGUCCCGGAGACGCCGAUGCGGCUCGUGCACCUGGAGUUUAUGUGGGGCUGUUCCCAGAGCCCAGGGACAAGAGGGGAGGGCCGCAGGGACGGACGGACGCUGGGGCUCAGUUUCCCCCGCAGACCUCUUGGGGCUCAGCCCCCCGCGGGCCGCUGGGGAGAGCUGGGGCUUUACCUCCCCAGGUGGGCGUUUACCACAGUGAUGCCAGGUCGCGGGUGGAGGCACGAGGGACGGAGGGACGGCCGUGUGGAGCGCGAAGGCCCCGUGCUGCCCGCGAGGGGCGAGGCCGGCAGGGGUCCGCAGGGAGGCACCCGGCGAGUGCGUCGACGAGGUGCUGAGAUGGAAGGUGGACGUGGCCAGUGUCUGGAGUCCUCGGCCUGUGACUGGGCACAGCUCCCACCAUCCACGCAGGUAAGAGCCCAGGUCCAACCCGGGGAAACAGCCCAGCUCUGACGGGAGACAAGUCAAAUAACU